ensembl:lncRNA
GGGGAUGAGGGGUCGAACCGUCAGGAGAUAAGGUUGGGCAGGUAGGAUUGAGGCCUGAUGUGGCAAAAGGGGUGGGGGCGGGCUUGAUUCAGGAGGAGAAAUGUGGAUUUAGUGCCAUGCGCAAUGGGCGGAGACUAGUUUCUUUUGGCGAGAGGAUGGCUGUGCUUUAGAGCGAUUCAUUUAGGGGUGGUGUGCAGGCUGAGUGGAAUGGGGCCGAGGGUCAGGGAGACUGUUACAUCCCAUUUAAUUUGUACUUAGUAUUUUCCUACGACUUCUUUGUCUCUUCCGCAAGCAGUGAUUGAGGGUCUAGUUAACAUACAAGGAAAGAAGACAUGUGCCUGGCUCACAGCCUAGUAGAAAUGAUGACAGGUACACAAGUGUGAUGCAAGAUAAAGAGGCCUCCAAGUGAGCCCAUUCACAAGAGGACAAGAAUCACAGCUGAGGAUAGAUGAAACACGAUCUGGCCCCCAAAGGGAAGGGCUUGGGAAGAGCUGGUUGAAAGUCUCAGACUACUAGGCUGGUGUUCAGAGAAGGGGUCUAGUCACAAAGGGAAACAGGCAGAAGCAGGUAUGUCAUGUCGGAGGCAGGCAGCACCAACAGUUCCAGACCACAUGGCCAGUUGACUGGGACUGCGGACCAAGCUUCUGUCUAGUAGAGCGCAGGAAGGAUGCACAACCGUCCUGUGGGUGGCAGUCACCAUCUGCUCUUGAGAUGGCUGGACAACGGCGAGACCUGACUUGGGUCUUCAAAGCUGCACAGGCUUCGAGACUGCAAAAAGCACAUUUAUUCAUUUAAGCAUUGAGCGCAGCUAAAUGUCUCGCUCUCCUCUAGUUCUCUGUGGUGAAGAAGACAGACGCUUUCCUUGCUCCCGUGUACCUUGCAAUCUUGACAAAAUCAGACAGGAGAACAUGGGUGGGUACAGGAAACGGGUUUGACUUGUCAGGAGAUAAGGCUGAGAGAGGCCUUGAGGCAAAGAUCCCGAAGCACUUCGAAUGCAAGGCUAUGUGGCCUAGAGCAGAUCGGCCCGUGUCAUCUCCUCCAGGAACUGUCCCAGACGUUCUCCUCCAGCCUGGUCUGGUGGUGGAGAGGCCUCCUCUUCUGGGUGUCCCAAAGCACCUUGGAAGCUCUAUGGUUUUCUAUUUGGUUUUCUGUCUCCUCCCCUAGACUAUAAGCAUCUUGCCGGGGGAAGGAACUACGUCUUCUUGCGGCUAGCUCACAGGAAGCUCUUUCAGAUAUUGGUUGAGCAAAUGAAUGGGUCCUGUAGGCAAUAAGGAAGCUACUUGACCACAUGCAUAGCUUAUCUUCUGCAUUGGAUCAGAAGCUCUUGAAAGCUAAACAUCCUUGCUUUCUAGUUUUAGGCAGUUCUCCCCAAGGCGUAGCACGGUGCCUGGUAUACAGCGGGCACCCCAUAAAUGUUGCAUGAAUGACUUUGUGGAAGUAGAAGUUCAUCUUCAGUGUCCUAAUUCUGCUGAAAAUUCUACUGCAAAGUGACCCAGUUUGGGGGAGUGGUCUUGAAUUGCACCCCCUCAGGCUUACAUCUCUUCCUUCCAAGUUCUCACCAAACAAAGGCAUUCCCCUGCUCCUGGACUCCACAAUGGAUAACCAUCCGUUAAAGCUUAACCUCUCUGAAUUCUUUAGCAGUUGAGAAUAAUAAGGAAGUAAUAGUGCAUAGUGCCAGGCACUAUUCUUAGUUUUCUACAUAUAUGUGAACUUGCUGCAUCCUCAUAACAACCCUCUAAGGCAGGCAGAGUCAUUGCCCCUGUGCCCAGAUGGGAAGGCAAACCACAGGGAGAGCAGCAAGACUGGUCCAGGCGCCUGUCCUCAAAUUCACAGUUACCCUGCACUCCAGCUGCUUUUCCCAGGAAAGAGAUCAGCAGAGAACCAGUGAGCAACUAGGAACAGGCUCGUUAGACCAGUAGUCUU